AUUGAACGCUGGCGGCAGGCUUAACACAUGCAAGUCGAGCGAGCGGCGGACGGGUGAGUAAUGUCUGGGAAACUGCCUGAUGGAGGGGGAUAACUACUGGAAACGGUAGCUAAUACCGCAUACCAUCAGAUGUGCCUAGAUGGGAUUAGCUAGUAGGUGGGGUAAUGGCUCACCUAGGCGACGAUCCCUAGCUGGUCUGAGAGGAUGAUCAUGAACACUGGAACUGAGACACGGACCAUACUCCUAAGGGAGGCAGCAGUGGGGAAUAGUGCACAAUGGGCGCAAGCCUGAUGCAGCCAUGCGGCGUGUGUGAAGAAGGCGUUCGAGUUGUAAAGAACUUUCAGCGAGGAGGCGUUACUCGCAGAAGAAGCAACGGCUAACUCCGUGCCAGCAGCCGCGGUAAUUC
rnacentral:rRNA from 1 species